GAUGAACGCUGGCGGCGUGCCUAAUACAUGCAAGUCGAGCGAACGGACGAGAAGCUUGCGUCUCUGAUGUUAGCGGCGGACGGGUGAGUAACACGUGGAUAACCUACCUAUAAGACUGGUAUAACUUCGGGAAACCGGCGCUAAUACCGGAUAAUAUUUUGAACCGCAUGGUUCAAAAGUGAAAGACGGUCUUGCUGUCACUUCUAGAUGGAUCCGCGCUUCAUUAGCUAGUUGGUAAGGUAACGGCUUACCAAGGCAACGAUGCAUAGCCGACCUGAGGGGGUGAUCGGCCACACUGGAACUGAGACACGGUACAGACUCCUACGGGAGGCAGCAGUAGGGAAUCGUCCGCAAUGGGCGAAAGCCUGACGGAGCAACGCCGCGUGAGUGAUGAAGGUCUUCGGAUCGUAAAACUCUGUUAUUAGGGAAGAACAUAUGUGUAAGUAACUGUGCACAUCUUGACGGUACCUAAUCAGAAAGCCGCGGCUAACUACGUG
rnacentral:rRNA from 1 species